ensembl:lncRNA
CUGAUUUUAAAAGAAAUUAAAACAUUUUCAUGGGUCCCUCUGAGCACGAUUGGCUCUGAGCACUGUGGUUUAAUUGUGCCAGAUAGAUAUGUAAGCCCUGGGUCUAGGACCUUCCAAAAGGUUAGGACCCCUGUGAAUUUAAUUUUAUAUGUAUUUUUUAUUACUUUUUUUGUUUGUUUGUUUUUGGUUACAGGCUUUAGUUAGUUCUGCUCCCGGUGAAUUUUAAAACGUCACGUUUGUGGCUUUAAGAGAGGCCCUCUUGCAAAUUCCCUGGCGGUCCUCUGGUUCCGACUCUGCCCUUUCAUUGACGAGGGCCUAGGUUCAAGCCCUGCUGAGGGUACUAAGAUCCCGCUGGGUGACUCGGCCAAAAUAUAUAUAUAUAUAUAUAUAUAUAUAUAUGCGCCAUCAUGCUGUCUGUCCCUCUUCCAACCACAAAAGCGUCCCCAAACCCCUCCAGGGUGGCCAUGAUUCCCACUCUCACCCCUGUCCCCAAUUAUCCCAUCCCUUUUGUUUUUUUCCUGGAAAACAUUAAUUAUCCAUUGAGAUGCACUAAAUUGUGGUGCUUUCUCACUAGACUGUGGGUCCCCGCAGACAGGGUUUUUGUCCCUGCGGAGCCCCGUGGUGGUCUCCCGGGCUCGGGCCUCCCAGAGGUCCCCAAAUACGGUCUACGUGGCAGCCGGGGAGGUAGAGAGGACGUCGCUGGGGCGCCUCAGGGACUUUCCCUGUCCCGCUGGGAAAGCGUGAUCUCACCCGGUUCCUCCCUCCUCGCCGGACGCGGAAGAGGCGGGCGGAGGCCGUGCGCCUGGGGCUACAGGCGCGCCCUCCGCGCCCUGCCAUCCGCGGGCAUCGCCACCAGGCCAUCAGGCCACCAACAUCCGCCCCGAGGACCCGAGCAGUGCGGCCGGUCGCCCCCGCGACCCCAGCUAUUUCAGAUUGACUUCUCACACUGUUGCUGGUGUAGUCGGGAGUUGGUAAGUUUCAUUUUUCCUUUUUAGCAUUUUUUAAGUUUUUUUUUUCAAAUGUGGACCAUUUUAAAAGUCUAUUGAAUGUGUUACAACAUGGCUUCUGUUUCACAUCUUGGUCUUUUGGCCAUGAGGUUAUGUGAGAUCUUAGCUCCCCAGCCGAGGAUCGAACCUACACACCUGUCAUUGGAAGGCGAAGUCUUAACCACUGGACCACCAGGGAAGUCCCUCCUUUUAACGUUUUAUAGACAUAGGGCCUGAAUUCAGAAUAGGACACAGAUCCUAAGUAUUGAACUUGAAUUUUCGGAGUGAUCACUGCAUGAAAUAGAACUUAAUGUCCAGCCCCUCUCGUGUCCCAUCCUUCACACUCUAUCAGCUGUUGCCCUUUAUCAGUUAAAAAUUGGAGGUGCAUGUCAACAUGUGUCUGAUUUUUUCUUUUUAAAAUUAAUUUUUAUUGGAGUAUAGUUGAUUUACAAUGUUGUGUUAGUUUCAGGUAUACGGAAAGUGAGUCAAUUCUACAUAUACAUAUAGACAGUUUGUUUUUUUUAAGCUUCUGUUCCUGUAUAUGUCAUUACAGAGUACUGAGUAGAGUCCCCUGUGAUUUUUUUCUUUUUAAGUUACUACACACACAGCUGUUUCUAGGAGCCACUGAGAGGUGGAAAGAAAGUUGAUCCAAGGGUCAAACUGCAAGUAAUUUUGAUAUUUCCAUAAGUUUUGGCUGACUUGGGGGCCCAUCUGAAAGUAAGAUUGUUGUCCUUUUUGAUCCAUUCUGUCGAUGAUGGUAACUCACAUCAAAGGUAGGAGAAAGUAUUCCCUUUGCCUUUUUCUUACUGCUCACUUGUGCCUGCAUUAUAGCAAGUUGUCUGUCUUCCACUUUCCUCCAGGACUACUCUGGCCAUGAGCUCAUUGCAUGGGCUAUUUUAAUUAUAACUAGAUAAAUCUGUUUCUCAGGCCAUGUAACCAGGUCCAUGGAAGCUGG